rnacentral:rRNA from 1 species
AUGCAUCUAGAUUGAGUUUGAUCCUGGCUCAGAUUGAACGCUGGCGGCAUGCCUAACACAUGCAAGUCGAGGGGCAGCGCGAGUAGCAAUACUUGGCGGCGACCGGCGCAAGGGUGCGUAACGCGUGAGCAACUUGCCCGUAUCAGGGGGAUAAUCCAGGGAAACUUGGUCUAAUACCCCAUAGUAAUUUUGUAAGGCAUCUUAUAAGAUUUAAAGCUUUGGUGGAUACGGAUUGGCUCGCGUGACAUUAGCUGGAUGGUAAGGUAACGGCUUACCAUGGCUAUGAUGUCUAGGGGUUCUGAGAGGAAGGUCCCCCACACUGGAACUGAGACACGGUCCAGACUCCUACGGGAGGCAGCAGUGAGGAAUAUUGGACAAUGGAUGGAAAUCUGAUCCAGCCAUGCCGCGUGAAGGAAGAAGGUCCUAUGGAUUGUAAACUUCUUUUGUAUGGGAGCAAUAAGGCCUACGAGUAGGUUGAUGAGAGUACCAUACGAAUAAGCACCGGCUAACUCCGUGCCAGCAGCCGCGGUAAUACGGAGGGUGCAAGCGUUAUCCGGAUUUAUUGGGUUUAAAGGGUGCGUAGCGGUUAUCUAAGUCAGUGGUGAAAGUUUUCGGCUCAACCGGGAUA